GGGGGUUCGUGUAGCCCAGAGGGGGUCCCACUUGCUCUCAUGCCACGGGGAAGCCGGGACGGCCCUUCCGUGCGCGGGUGCGGAGUCGGAAGAAGGUGUACAUGCCCAGGAGGCACAUGGAGGAGAGGAAGUAGAGCGCGAUGCAGAGGCUGACGUCCAGGCGGGAGAAGCCCAAUCCCAACACCCGCAGCCAGGGGCUCCUCCGUAAGACCCCCCCCUCCUCCUCUUCCUCGCGGCUCUCGGGCACUUGCAGCCGCUCCCAGCCGGCGUCGUGAUGCAGGGCGACGGUGUCCCUCUUGCUGAGCCGCCGGUGCCGGCCGGCCGCCCGCAGCGCCUUGCUCUUGAAGUGCUGCUCGCUGAAGGAGUCCAGGUCCACGAUGUCCUCCCCCAAGGCCCGCAGCCGUGGGUUCCUGCGCACGAUGCUGGGACGGCGCAGCUCCGAGGAGCCUGGCCGCCCCGUCUCGCCCUCCCUGUGGGGCUUCUCUGUCUCCUUCUCUCCCUCUUCCUCCUCCUCCUUCCUCUCCUCUUCUUCCUUUUCCCGGAGGCCUGCAGUGCUCAGCCUGGCACUCGCCGCCGCCUCCUCCCCGGCCAUGGGGAUGGGGAUGGCGUGGUCCAGGUAGAGGUUGCCCAGGGAGAAGUGCUCCUUGAGGAAGCUCAGCACAGCCGCCUCGUCCCACGUGUGCACGCCCCGCUCCUCCCGGUGGCAUUGUGGACACAUGUCUGGCGGAGGCCACUGCAGCUUGGGGAAUUGGGGGUCCUCUGUGUCACCACCUGCCAGGCGUGCAUUGACCUCGUUGUGGUGGGACCAGAGCCAGAG
rnacentral:lncRNA from 1 species